CACGUAGGCACCAAGCGUUGUCCGGAUUUAUUGGGCGUAAAGAGCUCGUAGGCGGUUCAGUAAGUCGGGUGUGAAAACUCUGGGCUUAACCCAGAGCCGCCACCCGAUACUGCUGUGACUAGAGUCCGGUAGGGGAGUGGGGAAUUCCUAGUGUAGCGGUGAAAUGCGCAGAUAUUAGGAGGAACACCGGUGGCGAAGGCGCCACUCUGGGCCGGAACUGACGCUGAGGAGCGAAAGCGUGGGUAGCAAACAGG
rnacentral:rRNA from 1 species